rnacentral:rRNA from 1 species
GACAGAGGGGGCAAGCGUUGCUCGGAAUUACUGGGCGUAAAGGGCGCGUAGGCGGGAUGGCAAGUCGGUCGUGAAAUCCUUCGGCUCAACCGAAGAACGUCGAUCGAUACUGCUGUUCUUGAGGGUUGCAGAGGAGACUGGAAUUCCCGGUGUAGCGGUGAAAUGGUGUAGAGAUCGGGAGGAACGACCGGUGGCGAAGGCGGGUCUCUGGGCAAUUCCUGAC